ensembl:snoRNA SNORD115 Small nucleolar RNA SNORD115
GGGUCGAUGAUGAGAACCUUAUUUUGUCUUGAGGAGAGGUUAUGUGAUGGGUGUUGUGGCAGCUC